UCCGUAGGCGGGCGUCUAAGUCAGUGGUGAAAUCUUACAGCUCAACUGUAAAAUUGCCAUUGAUACUGGAUGUCUUGAAUUAGUGUGAAGUGGUUAGAAUGUGUAGUGUAGCGGUGAAAUGCAUAGAUAUUACACAGAAUACCAAUUGCGAAGGCAGAUCACUAACACUAUAUUGACGCUGAGGGACGAAAGCGUGGGGAGCGAACAGGAUUAGAUACCCGAGUAGUCC
rnacentral:rRNA from 1 species